GAGCCAGAAACCGAAAUUCGGGUAGGGAAGUUGCGUUGAAGCAAAUCAACACGA
rnacentral:ribozyme from 1 species